ensembl:lncRNA
GGGAACUCCCUAAUACAACACAAUUUUUUUUUCACAAUUUUUUUUUUUUUUAAAGGCCACAUCCACAGCCUAUGGAAAUUCCCACGCUAGGGAGUCAAAUCAGAGUUGCAGCUGCGGGCCUACACCACAGCCACAGCAGCACAGGAUCCUUAACCCACUGAGAGGGGCCAGGGAUCGAACCCAAGUCCUUGUAGAUACUAGUCAGGUUCUUAACCUGCUGAGCCAUGACAGGCCCUCCCACCAUUUUUGUCAGUCUUAACUCAGGAAAGCUAGAAAUGAAAGAAACAGGGGAUGAGGCAUUGUCUCUCUCUUUUCAUGAAUUACUUGUGUAAUCGCAAAAUGUAUAUAUAGAAUAAAUAAUAAGAAGUACAAAUGAAAAUGUGUAAGAGAAUAAAAUGUCUUACAAGCCAUGUAUUAAUUUAUAUACAUAUUCCUAAAUCGAGAUGUAUAUACCUACACAUAUGGACAUGUACACACACGUCUGUCUAUUUUUCCUGUGACAUCAUCACAUGCUCAUAUUUUUCUUCUUCUUCUUUUUUUUUUUUUUUUUUGCUUUUUAGGGCCACACCCCGGGGCCUAUGGGGGUUCCCAGGCCAGGGAUCGGGUCGGAGCUAUAGUUGCUGGCCUACAGCCACAGUCACAGCAACUCAGGAUCCCAGCCGAGUCUGCGACCUACACCACAAACCCCACAGCUCACAGCAAUGCCGGAUCCUUAACCCACUGAGCAAGGCCAGGGAUGGAACCCAAGUCCUCAUGGAUGCUGAUCAGAUUCAUUAACCGCUGAGCCGCAGCGGGAACUCCCAUGCUCCGUAUUCUGCAGUGGACUCAUACGCUGGCAGCCAGCCCCCAAAGUGACUUUCACUCUUCAGUGGCCUCUGGAUUCACCCCCUGUGUCACUUCUUCCCCGCAGAUGACGGCAGAGCUGUGUAACCAAUGGGGUGUCGCAGAUAUGAUGGCAAGUCCAUGGCCAGGUUAUCAAAGACCGCAUUCUCUCCAGGAUCACUCGCUCCUCUGGGGGAACUCAGAGGUCUCUGCGGCCGUCUGGGAGAAAUCCGUGUGCCAGGGCUGUGGCCCUGAGGCGUCAGGCCAGCCAUCGGUGAGGAACUGAAGCCUCUUGCUAACAGCCUAACAGUCAUGGGAGGAAACCACCCUGGAAACGGCCCUCCAGUCUCUGCUGAGGGUUACGCCUGCAUCCAAGCUGCUUGACAGCAACCUCAAGAGAAACCCCAAACCAGAACCACCCGGCCAAGCCGCGCCUGAAUUCCUGACCCGCAGAAACCAUGUGAUCUGAUAAAUGUUUAUUGUUGUCCUAAAUUAUAGGCAAUGGAUACCCACCGAGAUUAAAAUCCGAUGUCCUUACAAUGACCCCCGUUAUUCCUCUGAUUGUAUCACGGACCAUUCUCUCCGUGGCGCCCUCUGUUCAAGUCCCACCAGCUUCCCUGCUAGAAGCCAAACGUCCCAAGUGUCUCCAGGGCUCUCCCUGCGGAGCUCUCUGCCAGGAGAGCUCUGCCCACUGGUGGCUGGAGGGUUCAUGCUCUCCCCUGCUCCAGGUCUUUGCUGCAAUGGCGUUUCCUCAAGGAGAUCUUCCCCGUCCGCCCUGCCAGGAAGAGCCCACCACCUUGGCCACCCCGUGACUGACUCUGCUCUAUUGCAUCACAGCCCCAGGACCAGCUACAUCAUGAUGUGUGGGUCCCAGAGCAAAAUGACAAUGCAGGAGUUCCCGUCGUGGCUCAGUGGUAACGAAUCCGACUAGGAACCAUGAGGUUGCAGGUUCAAUCCCUGGCCUUGCUCAGUGGGUGAAGAAUCCGGCGUUGCCGUGAGCUGUGGUGUAGGUCGCAGACGUGGCGUGGAUCUGGCAUUGCUGUGGCUCUGGUGUAGGCGGGCGGCUACAGCUCCAAAUGGACCCCUAGCCUGGAAAGCUCCACAUGCCGUGGGAGUGGCCCUAGAAAUGGCAAAAAAAAAAAAAAAA